AGCGAACGUUAGCGGCGGGCCUAACACAUGCAAGUCGAGCGAGAAAGGGGCUUCGGCCCUGAGUAAAGCGGCGGACGGGUGAGUAACACGUAGGUAAUCUUCCCUUGAGCGGGGGACAACGGUCCGAGAGGACCGCUAAUACCGCAUACGUUUCCGAGGACCCUGGUCCUUGGCAGGAAAGCUAGGCCGCAAGGUCCGGCACUCGAGGAGGAGCCUGCGUCGCAUCAGCUAGUUGGUGGGGUAAUGGCCUACCAAGGCGAAGACGCGUAGCUGGUCGGAGAGGAUGAUCAGCCACACUGGGACUGAGACACGGCCCAGACUCCUACGGGAGGCAGCAGUGGGGAAUAUUGGACAAUGGGCGCAAGCCUGAUCCAGCCACGCCGCGUGAGUGAUGAAGGCCUUCGGGUCGUAAAGCUCUGUGGGGAGGGACGAACCGCUGCACGUGCAUAGCGUGCAGCAUGACGGUACCUCCUUAGCAAGCACCGGCUAACUUCGUGCCAGCAGCCGCGGUAACAC
rnacentral:rRNA from 1 species